ACUACUACACCCUCCCUCUCCAUCUCCCCAACCCUCUUCUGCACCUCCUCACUCACUGCCUUCACAGAGAGGCCUUGUUCUUUGCAGUUGGUCUCUUCAGCCUUUCCCGCACCAAAUUUGUCACAAAAAUGAUACCAGCAGGAUCCUGCCAAUACCUCUUCACCAGCUCACAGUCAUCUAGCUUAUUCAGGAGGUCCUUCCUCUCACGAAACGACCGUCUCUGUCGCAGGUGGUGGCGGUGCGGUCCCCUAGAGCGGCCAUGUUUACUUUUAGGAUGAAAUCUUAGGAGCGCGUCUUAAGCGCGGUUCACACGAGGAAUGUUUACCCAUGAUCCGGGAACAAGCUUUGGCUAAACUGUGAUCCGGCUCAGCAAGUUCCCGGGUUUCAAGGUUCCGUUUGGAUGGUGAACUUGCUGACGCUACGUGGGAACUCACGACUGGACGACGAUUUGCUGCUUGCUCUCCUCGUGUGUUGACAAGUGUUUAAAAUUAUGGAGAACGAGUUAUUGUGGCCCAGGAGUGUUAUCAGAUAUUUGUGCGAACUGGUAGAAGGGCACAGAUUCCUCUGGGACCCACAAAAUGUGGACUAUCCCAAGCAUAAACUCAGAUUGAAAGUGUUUGGUGAGAUAGCCCAGGAAAUCAAGGCUCAAUACCCUGCGAUGACCACUUUGACUGCAGAUCAAGUUCGUGUUAAAUUUAAGAAGCUGAAGGCAUACUUUCUGCGAGAGCACAAAUAGAUACAGUCAGCACCAAGUGGCUCAGCAGGCAAGACACCUACAAAAUGGGAAUAUUACGACUGCCUUGCAUUCCUAGGUCCAAGUGAGGAGCUCACAACAGAGGCAUGCUGGUCGGGACCAACACACAAGGAACCUUCAUUACCCAUGCCAGAAUUUCCACCUGAAGAGUCAUCCAUCUAUUUAGUUGAAGAAGCCAGUAUAUGUGAGGGACUUGAGGAAACUGGUUUUGAAACAGACCAGAUCAGUCAUUCCACUGAACAAGCCAAACAGGUGACUGCAAAUGAUCUUGCUGAUGCCUUGAGGACAUUCAGUAAAGAACACAACCCUGGGUCACUUACAAGUUCAGCUUCAUCAUCCCUUCUGACGACUCCAUCAUCAUCUAGUCCAGUUUUGUCAGCAGCUGAAGGCCAGCCUAGGCAUUUGUCUUCGAAUGCCAUGAAGAGGAAACGAGCCAAGGCAUAUGAUUCAGCACUAGAAGUUGCAUUACAAAUGAGUGCGCAAGAACCAC